AGCGAACGCUGGCGGCAGGCUUAACACAUGCAAGCCGAGCGGGCGUAGCAAUACGUCAGCGGCAGACGGGUGAGUAACACGUGGGAACGUACCUUUUGGUUCGGAACAACACAGGGAAACUUGUGCUAAUACCGAAUAAGCCCUUACCGGGGAAAGGAUUAUCGCCGAAAGAUCGGCCCGCGUCUGAUUAGCUUGUUGGUGAGGUAACGGCUCACCAAGGCGACGAUCAGUAGCUGGUC
rnacentral:rRNA from 1 species